UGAGCAAUCUGCCCUUCUCAUCGGAAUAAGCGUUGGAAACGACGUCUAAUGCCGAAUACGACCUCCUUUCGCAUGAUCGGAGGUGGAAAGCUCCGGCUGAGAAGGAUGAGCUCGCGGCCUAUCAGCUAGUUGGUGUGGGUAAUGGCCCACCAAGGCGACGACGGGUAGCCGGCCUGAGAGGGUGACCGGCCACACUGGGACUGAGACACGGCCCAGACUCCGUAGGGAGG
rnacentral:rRNA from 1 species